UCUCCUCACUAUACUGACAGGGUCUACGACAUUAGGUCGGUCCCUCCGAGUUGAUAUAUGGGUAGCUAUUGAUAUGUCGAGUUGAGUUAGUGAUGUAUGCCAGUUGAUAUGCUAGUUUGGUAGAUCUGUAGGACUACCUGUGAUACUGAUUGAUUACCUGUUUGUGCAUUUAUCUGUUACAUGUCGGCAUGUUAUGUGGGAUGGGUUGAGGUGGUACUGCUCCGUGCAGUAGCCAACAAACCCUAGAGUAUUCCAGAUAUGAACCGAGGGCCCGGUAGGCAUUCCAGACUCAUACUGAGGACACGAGAGCAUUCCAGAUACGAUCUGAGGGCCCAGUAGGCAUUCCAGGCUCGUACUGAGGGCUCGGUGGCAAUCCAAAUGUGAUCUGAGGGCCCGGUACAUUAGAUGAUCGUAGGAAGGCAAAGGCGUGAUUGUACAACUCCUCACCUUUUAUGACUAUGGUGGGAUACUCUGAUAUAGAAUUGUCUUGAAAACAAAUUGGUAAUAACUUUUGGUUUCUAAAUGUUUUAAAAAGUUUAAAUUUGGCCUUA